GAAGCCCUGCUCGCAAUUGCUCUAUUACAAUGACUUCCGGGGAAAAAUGCCAGCGUGUCAGGAACUUGGAAAGUAAAGGGAAAGGAGGUGAAGAGCUGCCCUGUGGAAAGAAAACAAAGUGCUGCCAGCUCUUUAAGUUCCCAGCCACGGCCCACCUAAGCUCCCGUGAAUCUGAGUUCCAGUGUUCCGGAUGGAAACGCCUGUGACCCAAAAGGCUUUGACAUUUCACCUAGUUCCUGGUACUUCUGAAUCUUAUCCAGUCAUGAACAUCAGAGAAUGGAGCCAGCAUUUAUCAGGGGGUGUAUGAUAAAUCUCAACCAAUCCUGGAGAUCACUUGGUGCGUAGAGCUAAGUGAAUGACGAAGCAGGUUCUGAACUCCCAGCAUCCAACACUGUUCCUUCUUCCCGAGUUUCAACCACAAGAACCCACUGGUCCUAGCUGUUGGUGAAUAUUAUUUUCAGGUGAAGCUGAGAUGUUUAAACUCCAAACAAUGAGCCAUUCCCCAGGGCCUCUCGCAUGGAGGUUCGUAGGAUGGGAAUCCGGCCCAAAGGAAGGACGCCCGCCAUGGUGGCCCCUCAUUUUGUCCGGGGGAGGUGGCCUGACUUGACUCUCUGCGAGGAGCUGAGAAAUAACACGACUCUUGACUUUGGAGUGAGCCAGUCACUCGGGGAGACCAGGCUGUUUUCAUUACACGCUCCUGGAAUGCGUGGGAUCUGCUCUAGGUCACCAGGGAUUUCACAAACCCCCAAAGCAGGAAUGGCAGAAAUUUGACUUUUGGAGCCCUAUCCACUCCGCUGUUUGCUCUGUGCUUGUCCUGCCUUCCUUAAAGAAAAGGCUGACAGAAGCCUGCCAGUUCUUUGAGAGGGCUGGGGAGGACUUUGUUCCACAGAGGCAUUCCCUGACUGCAUUGGCAAGAGUAUCUUGUUGGCAAGGGCACUCACUCUGGGAUGGAGGCAUGCCUAUGAUGGGGGUCUAGCUUGUCAUCCUGGCUUUGCCAUUUACUAGCAGAGAGACUUGGAAUUCCUUGGGAGUUCUAUUUUCUGACUC